rnacentral:rRNA from 1 species
GAUGAACGCUGGCGGCGUGCCUAAUACAUGCAAGUCGAGCGAACGGACGAGAAGCUUGCUUCUCUGAUGUUAGCGGCGGACGGGUGAGUAACACGUGGAUAACCUACCUAUAAGACUGGGAUAACUUCGGGAAACCGGAGCUAAUACCGGAUAAUAUUUUGAACCGCAUGGUUCAAUAGUGAAAGACGGUCUUGCUGUCACUUAUAGAUGGAUCCACGCUGCAUUAGCUAGUUGGUAAGGUAACGGCUUACCAAGGCAACGAUGCAUAGCCGACCUGAGAGGGUGAUCGGCCACACUGGAACUGAGACACGGUCCAGACUCCUACGGGAGGCAGCAGUAGGGAAUCUUCCGCAAUGGGCGAAAGCCUGACGGAGCAACGCCGCGUGAGUGAUGAAGGUCUUCGGAUCGUAAAACUCUGUUAUUAGGGAAGAACAUAUGUGUAAGUAACUGUGCACAUCUUGACGGUACCUAAUCAGAAAGCCACGGCUAACUACGUG